AUCCAACCUGCCCUUUACUCGGGGAUAGCCUUUCGAAAGAAAGAUUAAUACCCGAUAGCAUAAUGAUUCCGCAUGGUUUCAUUAUUAAAGGAUUCCGGUAAAGGAUGGGGAUGCGUUCCAUUAGGUUGUUGGUGAGGUAACGGCUCACCAAGCCUUCGAUGGAUAGGGGUUCUGAGAGGAAGGUCCCCCACAUUGGAACUGAGACACGGUCCAA
rnacentral:rRNA from 1 species